rnacentral:rRNA from 1 species
AUGAAUCUUCUGAGUUGGAACUGCCGAGGAGGGGGGAAUACCUAGACGGUUCGAGAAAUAACGACCAUCUCGCAGUCGCAUUCCCCCACGUUUGUAUUUUUGUGCGAGACGAGGCAAACAACGAAUAAGAUGAAGAGACUCAGGAGCAGACUUGGCUUGAAGGGUUUUGAAGGAGUAGAUAGCAUUGGGAUGAGUGGUGGACUAGCUCUGUUUUGGCACGAAUCUUGCAAUAUUAGCAUACUGGACAAGGACGACCGGUACAUUGAUGCUAUAGUGUGUGUUAAUCCGGACUCUGGGCAAUGGAGGCUUACUUGUGUUUAUGGAGAACCGCGGGUUGAAAAUAGACACAUGAUGUGGACAAAACUAAAGAACCUUAAGAGUGUCAGUAAUCAUCCAUGGUUAGUGGUCGGAGACUUCAAUGAAGCUCUCUGGGAUUUUGAGCACUUAUCAGCGACACUGAGACCUGAGGCUCAAAUGGUGGCAUUCAUAGAUACAUUGGAAGUGUGCGAGUUGGUGGACUUGGGGUUAUCGGGGAUCCCCUUCACAUAUGAUAAUAAACUAAGCGGCAAUAAUAAUGUUCAAGUUUGUUUGGAUAGGGCAACAGCGACAAAUGCAUGGAGAAAUCUUUUUCCUUUAUGCUCUGUUGUGCACGUGGUCUCCCCAUGUUCUGAUCAUAUAGCCCUAGUGCUAAAGGUGAACCGGAAACGGAUCAUUCAGGACCAAAAACUAGGAGGUAUGAACUCUUUUGGGAGCGAGAUGUGA